UGAUCGUGCCGGAGGUUACUGCUAUCGAGGUUCGACUAAGCCAUGCGAGUCGAAUGUAGCAAUACAUGGCGUACUGCUCAGUAACACGUGGACAACCUACCCUUGGGACGGGGAUAAACCCGGGAAACUGGGUAUAAUACCCGAUAGUCCUCGACUGCUGGAAUGCAUCGAGGUCGAAAGCUCCGGUGCCCAAGGAUGGGUCUGCGGCCUACCAGGUAGUAGUGGGUGUAGCGUACCUACUAGCCUACGACGGGUACGGGUUGUGAGAGCAAGAGCCCGGAGAUGGAUUCUGAGACACGAAUCCAGGCCCUACGGGGUGCAGCAGGCGCGAAAACUUUACAAUGCUGGAAACAGCGAUAAGGGAACCUCGAGUGCCAGGUUACAAAUCUGGCUGUCGUGAUGCCUAAAAAGCAUUGCAUAGCAAGGGCCGGGCAAGACCGGUGCCAGCCGCCGCGGUAACACCGGCGGCUCGAGUGGUAACCGUUAUUAUUGGGUCUAAAGGGUCUGUAGCCGGCCGGAUAAGUCUCUUGGGAAAUCCAGCAGCUCAACUGUUGGGCUUUCAGGAGAUACUGUCUGGCUCGAGGCCGGGAGAGGUGAGAGGUACUUCAGGGGUAGGGGUGAAAUCUUGUAAUCCUUGAAGGACCACCAGUGGCGAAGGCGUCUCACCAGAACGGACCUGACGGCAAGGGACGAAAGCUAGGGGCACGAACCGGAUUAGAUACCCGGGUAGUCCUAGCCGUAAACGAUACUCGCUAGGUGUCGGCCACGGUGCGACCGUGGUCGGUGCCGUAGGGAAGCCGUGAAGCGAGCCACCUGGGAAGUACGGCCGCAAGGCUGAAACUUAAAGGAAUUGGCGGGGGAGCACCACAACGGGUGGAGCUUGCGGUUUAAUUGGAUCAACGCCGGAAA
rnacentral:rRNA from 1 species